rnacentral:lncRNA from 1 species
GAGCUUCAAGUCGGUUUCCAGAAUCCACACUGUCAUUCAAUAUCUUCUUCAUAUCAUAUUUGUACUCGAAGCCCAUUUCCCUCAACUUUCCAUUGUCACAGUUGCAUCCCUUGUCAGGUCCUCCAACGAGUCUAAAAUCAAUUCACAUUGUUAGGUUUGCUGCAAAACUCUGAGCAAUAUGAUUUUGACAUCAACUAACACAAGCUUGAAAUUUAGUUUAUUAAAAAUAAUAUUCAUCUCAUUUUGAACGUAUUUUAUAAAACAAAGAAAAAUAGUAAGGAAACAUGAAGGAAAAAAAAUCGAUAGUAAAUACUCAAAUGCCCAUUUGGGAUAUUUUUGAUAAAUCUUGUCUUUAGCGAAAUUUUAUCAUCUUAUGGUUAACAAAAAUUACCUUUUGGAUUAGAAAAUAAACAAAAUUAAAAAAUCUACAAAAAAGGAAAUAAAAUUCAAAUUAAUCCAAUAAAAAAAAGUUCGCUAAAGGCAAAAUUGAUUUGACUUGAGUACAGUUCAUCAGUAAAACGUCUUACUCUUCUGAUAUCUUGAGUGACUGUGGAUAAUUUUGUUGGUAGUACUUGGCCAUCUCUUGUAUAGUUGGAUCCACUGCAGCACAUAAGAAUCUACCUCUCAAUGACUGUUGUUUGAUCUCCAUGCAAAAUAUGUGUGCUUCACAAACAUCAUCAAUGUGCACUAGAGGGAUUGAACCCAAUAGUUCUUGGAGAAACCUUAAGCCGUUAUAGCACGAGAGGUUGCAGUAAGCAGUGAUAUAACCACCGCUACGCUAGUGGGUACGUAGGAAAGAAGAGUGUCUCCUCCCACUUGGCCACAAGCGAGGCUCACCACCUCUAACUUUCCAUUUUCAAUCUCAUUGUAGCUCAACACCUCUUGCUCUGCCAAUGUCUUUGAUAUAGUGUAUGCCUACAAUGGAAAACAAAAAAUUCAAGUAAAAUUAAACAACAAAAAGUACCUGAUAGUAUAUAGUUUCGGGUUUUCAUUACUUUUAUCUCUUAAACUACUUGAGUUUGUCUACCUCGUACCUAAAAUAUCGAUUGCGUCUAUUCGUCCCUAAACUUUCUAAUUAAGUUUUUUUUAUUAUGAAAAUGGUUUUAAAGUUUGUUUGUUUUUUAACAACUCAAUAAAUUCAACUUGCUUUGAUAAAAACGAACAUUCUCUUCGCACAGUAAUAUUUAAUAUUCAAUAUAAGUUUAUCUAAGUGUAAAAUAAGAUAAAAGAUGUCUUAACAUAUUUUUUUAUGAUUUUUUGUUAAAAGCUCUAUAUAAAUUACAUCAAGUAUAAACUUAUCGUCUAAUCUAGAUCGUGUAUUCAACUCAAUGAAGUUCUUAAAUUCCUUUUAUGUUCGACUUUAGGCCCACGUGUCGGUGAGGAAGAGAAAGAAAAAGGGAUAGAUCGGUGUGAGUGAAGAACAGAUCUUGGUGAUCUACACUUCCUCUUGAUCAAACGUUUAUCCUAGCCCAAUUUUCUCUAUUUUGUAGUGAAGAUGCAAGUACGAGACAACAUAGAUAUACCAGAGUAAAUUCAUUGCUGAAAGUGUAGGAGAGGUUGAGAGGAGUCCAACAGGAUUCAUCCAUGGCGGAUUUAUAGCCUAUCCCGUCUUCUUUCAAUGGCGACGCUGACACUACGCUAGCAGUGUAGAUGAGUCGCUUUACGGUUUCUGAUCUAAUGCAACAAUCAGCUAUGCUCUUCACCCCGGCAAUGGCUGCUUCGCAAGUAUCCUUGUACUGUUCAAUUCAUAACAACUUUCUAGUAAGGCUCAGCUUCACCUAACUAUGUUUUCUCCACUAGUUUUAAUUUAAUUUUUGGCGAAGGUUUUUGUUUUAUUGUUCGAUUAUAAUUUAUUUUCUAAUUUCUCUUGACAAGAUAAAUCAAAAAUAUAAAAAAAAUAAUUUAUAAUUGACAAACAGCUCACUAAAGACAAAAAAAAAUUUUCAUUUUUACGUAAAAAUAAGCUAUUUUUUUAAUUUUAGGGGAUUUUUUUAAAAAAAAAAUUACAUAAAAAAAAUUCUAGAGUUUGACCAUAGAAACAAAUUAAAUAGUAUAAUUUCAAUUGUAAUAAUUCAAACUCUAUAGUUUUAAUUCAGUAGCAAUUUAAAUCAUUAGUUAGUUUCACUCCAUUUAGAGUUAAUGAAACAACUAGUUCUUAUUCAAAAUGCACUAAAAACACGUCGGAUAGGGUAUUCUCCCGUUUAAAACCUUAAUUGAACAAUUCUUAUUUCAAAAUAGAAUAUAAAUUUAGUUUAUUUAAAUACAUACAAAAUCUAAAUUUUUUAAUUUUUCUUGUUAAUUGGUUCAAUUAGGACAUUAAGUUUCACUUGGCAACUUUUACUUUUGGACAUUAAGUCAAGUGUCAAUAUGCUCCCCCUUUCGAACUUCCGUUUAAUGAAGUGACAUAAAGAUACAAUAUAGCCUCAUAAAAAAUGGUCACAUGGAUUUUAUUGAAAGGAAUGUAAGCAUGGACAUUGACCUAAAGGGCCUAUUUAUUUUGAAGAUAAGGGGCAGGAAGUUUUUGUUUUUUUAAGGAAAUUGUAGACAAAUUAUGUGGAGCUACUAAUUCGAUGGAUUUGUAAUCCAUCAAAUUGACUGAAUUUAUAAUAACACAUUCCCCAAUUAUUACAAAUCCAAGGGGUAUGUAUUAACUCUAAAAUUAUUAAAAUACUCUUAGGUAAAUACAACAAUAGAAUGUUGUUAAAUUAAAAUAAUAUUAUAUAAUAUUUAUGGAUGUAGAGUUUUUUAUACCCCAUAAAUUACUUGUUUGGUGUCUAAUUUUACUUGUUAAAUAAGAAUUCUUGUUCGGCUAAUAUGUUAUAUUUUAUAAUUACUCCAUUUAGUUGCAUGUAAAGAUGUCGUGUUUUGCAUGUAAAGAUAUGAUAUUUUUAUUUGGUUCUUAUUAUUGUUGUUAGUUAAUUAUAUGGAUGCCUAGUUAAAAAUUAUAUUUUUUUUUAUUUAUUUAUGGAGUACUUGACUUUUUUUAUUUAGUUAAAAAUUAUGAUGCAAGUGCAACCAUUAAAAAUAUAAAAAAAAUAUUUAAUCAAACACCCAUAUCCAUUGUAAAACAAACAAAUUCAUAUUGAGAUUUUACAGGAUAAUCUGACUUAGCUUGUCUGGAUUUUGUUAUCCAACCUUAAAUCUGACUAAAUUUUCAAUCCGUCAAAUUCAAUCUUCAAAACAAACAUAACCAAAAUAUAAGGGAUUAAGUGGCAAAAUCGACUUUGUAUAUAUGUAGCGACACACGUGUGAAAUGGGAUUGAUUUUUUCUUCAAAAUGUUGGCAUGCACGGGGCUGGGUCAGAAAUUUUGCCACGUGAAUUAUGUCAUAAUUGAUAUUUUUCAAGAAAACAAGCAUGUAUGAGAUAUUUAGGUAAAAGUUUAUAGAGGAUUUUGAUUUUUUUUUUUUACAUAAUCUUUCUGACAAAAUGUACAGGUCCUCUUUGGACCCAAGGAAUUUAUCUUCAAGCACAUUUUGUAAUUUGAAUAAAUUUUACUGAUUUUUUCUAAGAUUUUUAAUAAUUAUAACCACUUAUUUAUAGUUUCUAAAAUAACACUACUCUUUCUUACUCUUGAAAUUAUUAUUAAGAUUGUCUAUGAAAAUAUUUUUGACAAGAUGACACAGAUUGUCGUAAAAUUUAACUAAUAUAUUUUUAAAAAAAAAAUACACAAAUUAAAAGAAUAAAAACAUUAAAUUUUUUAUUCAAAAUAUCAUUUAUUUAUAAAUUGCUCUAUUUAUAUUUUUAAUAAGUAUUUUUUAAAAAAAGUAAUUUUAAUUAUUUGCUUUUUAAGUACUCCUAAGAGCGUACUUAAAAAAUAAAUAUUUGUUAUUCAAAUUCAUUACAAAAAUAAGAAAAAACCUUGAGAAAAAAAUAUAAAAGCUAAAAAUUAAGGACCUCUGAUAUUUUUGUCAAGAAAUUUAUUUGUAGAGAAAAUUUUGAUAAUAAUUUUAAAAAUAAAAUAAAUAAAUAAUAAUUUAAAAAAUAUAAAAGAUGUGACUAUAUUUAUUAAAAAUAUUAAAAGAGAUUAAUGUUAUUUUUAAAAAGGUAAAUUACACUGACCUCCCCUGAGAUUCCGAGUUAAUACACAAAUUACCCCUGACGUUUGAAAAAUUAUAUUGACCUCCCCUGAUUUGAAACUUGUAACAGAUUCUUCUAUUUUACACUGACCACCCAUGAAGUUAUGAGUUAAUACACAAAAAACUCCUGACAAAGUUACUUCUUUUUGUCUUUUCGACGGAGGAUGUUGAUUUGAUGUCAGGAGUACUUUGUGUAUUAACCCGGAAUAUCAGAGGUGAUCAAUGCAUAAUGGGAGAAUCUGUUAUAAGUUUCAAAUCUUAGGGGAGGUCAUUGUAAUUUUUUAAAUAUUAGGUGUAGUUUAUGUAUUACUCUGGGACCUCAGGGAAGGUCAAUGUAAUUUACCCUUUUAAAAAUGGGUCAGGGAAAAACUUCUUUGGUUCAGACGGGAUUAAAUCUGUGGUAUUACCACGGACGAGCCUACGUGGCUGCGCCACGUCCACUCAUUUGGGAUGGAUGGAACUUAAAAAAACAACAACAUAAUUUGUCCCCACCAUUCGAUAUGACUCUUUUUCGUUUCAACACCCAACAUUAAACUAAUUUUCUUCCUCCAAUAAUGUAUAUUUGACUCCAAACAAAUGCAAUAUACGUGGGUACAUAGCAUUCGUGUGGCCAAUUAUCAUUCACAACAAUGUACGUAUUUUUUAAUUCAAAAGGAUUCAAGGGGGAAAUUCCAACCCACGUGAUUAUAUCCCACAUCUAAUAUAUUUAGUAAUAUUACCUAUAGAUCUUCUGACUCGACCACGUAUAUUGCUGUGAUUAUUUAAAUUAGUAGAUAUUAUUAUAUCACUCUAGCUAGCUUAGUUGAUAAGAUUGAUAUAUUAUUUCUUGUCAAAGUAUCCACCAGCUAGACUUAGAUUUCGUUUGACACUAAUUUUUUUUAACUUUAUCUAAUCUUUUUAACUUAAAAUAAGUAAAAAAAUUAAUCAAAUUAAUUUUUUUACUUUUUUAUGUUUUUUACUUAAUUUUAGUAAAAGUAAAGGUAUAAAAAUAAAAAAAUAAAAAUUCUUAGCCUUAAUUAGUUGAUAAGAUUGAUAUAUUAUUCUUAUCAAGGUAUCCACUAUCCACCGUUACGCUUCACCUUCACGUCGCAAAAUAUUAUAUGCCAUUUCUAGGGGAACACGACAUUUCAUAUUUGAAUAAUAACCGGCCUUUGCUGCAGUCCAUUUUUAGAUUGGAUUGAUGCAGCUUAAGUUAAAAAAAAAAAAGUCGAUUAAUAUUAAUUUAUAGAAAUGGUUUAUCAAUAUUAAUUUAUAUAAAUAUAAAUUAGUAUAAUUCUAUUUCUCACGCUCAUUUUUUAAGUUAUAAAAUAAUGUUGAACGGAUACUAAAUUAUAUCCGAUCAACGUAUUUUUUUACGAUACUAAUAUGAUGGGACGGAGUCAGAGCUUAGAUUCAAUGAAUUCAAAAUUACCAGAAUUUAUGUUCAGCGGAUUCAAAAUUGUAGAAUAUAAGAUUUUUGGGCAAAUUACUAAUUUUUUGUGGGGUCAAAAUUAUCAAAAUUUAGAUUUAACGGAGUCAAAAUUAUCAGAACUUAUAUUCAGUUAGGUCAAAAUUAUAGAAUUAAUGGAAUUUAGGACAAAUUAUUAUUUUUUUGGUCAAAAUUUUAUUUAUGAUAAAUUAUAUUAGGGAUAUUAGUGUUUUUUUUUUUUCUAGUGGGGUAAAUUGACCUUAUUUUCCUAGUGUGGCUCCGCCCAUACUAAUAUGUUAGGGGUGUUCAAAAUUAUGUCCGACCCGACCAACCUGACUGACCCGACCCGAUCCGAAGCUCACCCAACCCGAUUACUCUACGGGUGAAUAACAGGUGGCUUUUAACUAACCCGACCACAUUCAGUUCGGGUGUCGGACCAUUCAAUCGACCAAUCCGACUGACCAACCCCACAAUUUUAUACUAAAAUUCACAAUUUUCACUCAACCCGACCCCAACCCCAACAGACCAAAUUCUACUCGAACCGACCCAACUCGACCAUCUAUUGGAUCGGAAUCGGGUCCAAACUUCUCCAACCUGACCAAUUCUGUUUGGGUGUCGGGUAACCUCAAAUCCGAUCUGAUCCGACCCGUGAACACCCCUAUAAUAUGUACAAUAAAAUAUAUAAUAUGAACUAUUUAAAUCAUUAAAAUAGAUCUUAAAAAAACUCAUAAUGAACUUCAGAUAAACAAUGUCCAACAAGAACCGGACUUCUUUGUUUUUUGUUUUGAAUAAAUAAAGAAGAAGAGCGGUAUUGAUACCGCAAUUGAUCAGAGCCGUCCAUUAAAACUUUUGCAUUCUAGACCGUCCACGAAUGUAAAGAAUUAAGUGGCAAGUUGAAGAGCUAUAAAAAUGCCAGUAAGUUAGGGGCGGAGCCGGGAGAGAAAUUUAGUGGGGUCAAAAUCAUAAAAUUAUAAGAUAAUAGUGUAUUUUUUUUCAGUUGGAGUCAAAGUAGUGUAUUUUUUCUUUAUUGGGGUGAAAGUGUAAUUUUUUUGUGUACUAAAAAUACAAUUUUUUUUUUCGGUAGGAUCAAUUAACCUCAUUUGCCUCUAUCUAACUCUGUCCAUGCAGGUAGGCCAGCCCAAAACUAACCUUAAUGCAUAGUAUAAUUUUCUCCAGUACUUGAUGAAAAAGGCAAGAAGAACAAGUUCAUGAAAAAGACUGACCUUGGAACUCUGAGUAUUGUGCUGCAUGGGAGUAGCAACAUGGAAAACAUAGUGACACCCUUCAAUGGCUGCUCCAAAUUCAGUGGGAUUGUAUAUGUCAGCUUGGAAUAACACUAAUCUGGUCUCUGCAUUAGGGAGGGACUUAAGAAGCCCUACUUUGAGUUUUUCAUCUGCAAUAAGAAAUCAAAGACUCAAACUUAGCUAUAACAUACAUAUAUGUAUGUAUGUAUGUAUACAUCUAUAUUGUUAACAUAAAGUGUUAAUUGAUUUUGAUGAUUAGAUUUAUGAAUGGUAAACAAUGUUUAAAUAUAUUUGAAAAUCGCCUUAAAAUAAAUUUGAAUGUCAAAUAAUCUCACGUGUUACAAAGAUGCAACAAUCAUUUGUUUAACUCAAAACAGCGUCACGCAAAUUUAUUCUAAAACCAUACACGCAUGCAUAUUUGACUCGCUCACUCUCAAAGAAAACACAUUUGAGCCUAGAGAAAUUGAUACAUGUUUAAAAUAUAAUUUGUAAGUUCCUACAAGUCAUAAUCGAUGAUAUAAUGCUAAUGGAACUUGAAGAAUGGUCAAAAACAUCUCUCAAACUCAUUUUGUGUAGUUAAUGGUUUUGGUUUUGAAGAAAAUAUUAAAACUGCUGCUACUGUCAAAAGUUCGGUCAACAGUUAAGUCGACCGAAGUUGGAGAAACUCUCGAUCGAAGUUUCGAGUCUCCUCUGGACUGAAAAGAGCUCUCUAGAACAUAAAGGAUCCUUGACCGAAAUUGAAGAAACUAUCAACCAAAGUUUUGAGCCUCC